rnacentral:rRNA from 1 species
GACGAACGCUGGCGGCGUGCUUAACACAUGCAAGUCGAACGGAAAGGCCCUGCUUUUGUGGGGUGCUCGAGUGGCGAACGGGUGAGUAACACGUGAGUAACCUGCCCUUGACUUUGGGAUAACUUCAGGAAACUGGGGCUAAUACCGGAUAGGAGCUCCUGCUGCAUGGUGGGGGUUGGAAAGUUUCGGCGGUUGGGGAUGGACUCGCGGCUUAUCAGCUUGUUGGUGGGGUAGUGGCUUACCAAGGCUUUGACGGGUAGCCGGCCUGAGAGGGUGACCGGCCACAUUGGGCCUGAGAUACGGCCCAGACUCCUACGGGAGGAAGCAGUGGGGAUUAUUGCACAAUGGGCGGAAGCCUGAUGCAGCAACGCCGCGUGCGGGAUGACGGCCUACGGGUUGUAAACCGCUUUCGCCUGUGACGAAGCGUGAGUGACGGUAAUGGGUAAAGAAGGACCGGCUAACUACGUG